rnacentral:lncRNA from 1 species
GCUGCUCCCCUCCUUUCCUCCCGCCACAAGCGCUCGCUGUGGUUCUGGCAGCGAAGUGCGAGACUGGGCUCGCCAGGCGGAAGUGGUUGGAGACUGCGUGUUUUCCUAGAAAGUCCUCGACCUUCGUCGGGGAGAGGAGGGGAGUGAUAAAUUGGAAGGCGGACAAGCGACAAGUGCGGUACUGGAAAGACCCAAACAUACUUGGUUGUGACCUCAGGUUGACCGUAAACAGAGUACUUUGUGCUUGGUGCUGGGUACACAUGGACUAAGACUGAAUACUGAUUUUUCCAGUGCUUUGGAUCUCUGGCAAUCUAAGACAUUUACAUUAAAUACAAUAGAAAGUAAUAAACUACAUAAGAAAGGUGUAUAGAUUGAGGUUAGAGGGAGAGGAAUAGCUAGUGUGAGGGACAAAACGCAGUUUUGAAUAGUAUUGAGUACUUACAUGUCAGUUGCUGCACUGAGCACCUGCCGUGUGAGCUCAUUUGAAGAAUGUGGGUAUGUGGAAUGAAGAGAAAGGGCGUUCUAGACAGACCAGCACAAGUGUCAAAAGACAAAAAUUUGACACAUCUAAAGAUCUCAGUUGGCCUUAUUGCGAUUCUGGAAUCAGGCAACACUUCAUUCCAUAAAAUGGAAUGAGUGUCCCAAUGAGUGGAACAGAGGAGGUUGGCAUUACGGACAGAAAAAAGGACUCAAUAAAAUAAACAGCUGGAAAUAAGCAGACUAGUGUAAGAGUGAAUUGAAAAGAAAACCCAAGGUCACAUCUCCCAAGAAGCAGUAAUGUUCCAGCAAUAAGAAAAGGACAGUUUUUUGUCUUUUGCAUGGUGAGCCUUAUAUGAAUUACAUCAAUUUUGUCACCAAUAUCCAUCAUCAGAACAUUUUGGGGCACUGUGGCUCGAACCAAUGUCCAGCUUCCACACUAUCUGCUUGGAAGAGGAUUACCCUUAUUUGGAAGUCUCAGUUUUGAGGAUUUGGGGAAAGCAGGCACGCAAGCAGACACACCUUAUUCUCUACAGCAUCAUUUAUACCUCAACUAAGUCAGCUGAACAAAUGCCUGCUGAAAAGUUCUGGGAGUGGCAUAGCUAAGAACCAGAAAGGCGAUCUUUCUUUUGGAUUAAGUCAACAGAGUCAUACCCACAAGGAGAACUAUCAAAUAUCAGAUGCGAGAGGUGAAGUGGGGUUAUAAGGUUCUACAUAACACAUUGCAAAUGGUCACAACAAUCAAGACUAUAUCCAUAGAUGUCCCAGAAAUAAUAUCUGACUAUACAGAGCAGCAUUACCAAGCCACCAAGAAGUCUGCCUAGUAAUGACAAUGAUAACAACAGCUAACACUUAGCAACAGAGCAGAGGAACAGAGCCACAGAUAACUGAAAACCACUUUGGCACUGAGGAGGUAUGCAGACAAGAUCUGGAAGGGAAUCUAGAAAAAUGGCAACUUUGGAUAAUCACUUGCCUUACUGACAGAUUCAGAGGAAGCCAUCAGUUUUUUGGGCAGAAUGAAGGGACAAAUGGUGAACUGGUAUCCGGGAUGCUGCCUAGAACCCUGUCCAUUUAAGAAGACACCCAGGUGAUACGCAAUGCACAAAAAGCACUGGAACUCCCAGCAGGCAAGCACUGCAGUCUAUAAACCCUCUAUUGAGAAAGGCCAUGACAUGUCUACCAGGGACACAGAUUUGGGAGGCAGAACACAAGACAGGGUGAGGGUGAAAAGCAAUGGCUACCUGGCCACGUCAGCCAAAUCAGCUCCAAAAAUCAAUGCGAUGACAGUGGUCACAGGCAGAUCACUCUCACCUUAUAACCUGGGAUGGCACAGACCAGACAGAUUAUUUCAUUUUGUUUUUUCAUUAUUUUUAUUUACUUUUUUGGAGAGAGGGUCUCACUCCAUUGCCCAGGCUGGAGUCCAGUGGUGUGAUCAUAGCUCACUGUAACCUUGAACUCCUGGACUCAAGUGAUAAACCUGCAGCUGUCUUCCCUGAGUAGCUGGGACUACAGGUACACACCACUACACCGGGCCUCUCAUUUUGCUUAAUUUAUUUAAUUAGUCAACUAAUUUUGAGGGAGGGCAGAUUUUGGAAGUAAAGGGCAUAGAUGGUUCUGUAGUAUGCGGAAAUCUGAAGCUUUGCUAAGAUGGGAUCAACAUGAAGCAUCUGUACAUGUACAAAUUAGCAAAUGUUACCAUGACUAACAGUAAAAUGAAGAAUUAAGGAAAUUAUAAGGUUAAUUUCCUUGAAGUCUCUCAGUAGUCAUUUGUGUCUAUAGGUGAUUUUGUAUUUUACAACAUUGUAUUUUCUAAUUUCAUGAAAGGAAAGCUAACCAAAUUCGUGGAUUUUAUUUUUUGCCUCAGCCUCAAAAAGCCUUAGGGCUGAUUCAGGCCUGGUUGUAGCAAUCGGCUGUCUCAAAGGCCUCCUGCAUGUUUAAAUAGCUUCUCUCCUGUUUAUUUUGCACUGUUUUAUCCUGUAAGCUGUCUCGAGGCCCUUCCAAUAUAAGCAUGAGGAUUUAAAUCUUAAUAAAUUGAGAUUUGAAUAUUGUGCCCUUUUGCUUUAAAUCAAUAGAGGCAAAGCCCACAGCAGAUAGUGUCAGUAAUGCAAAUCCAUUUCCUAUUGUAAUUCACUUUUCAGAACAAAACCUUUUCCAUCAGCAAAGCAUUUUAGAACCUCAAGCUACACUGUUCCCACCUGCAACUGUCUAAGGUAUUGGAGGUCAAGGACAGUCCAAGGCCAAGUCAAGGACCAUCAGGACACAGAGGAGUAACUUCUGAGGCAGCCCCCGGUGGGACUUUGCUUAAAGAGGCUUUAAGGAAGAACUUAAAAUGGAGAAAGCCAACUUUUGAACGUGGUGAUCAGGGAUUUGAUUUAGGACAAAUUGUUAUUUGGAUGGAUGCUUGUCUAUUGAGAGAGUAAUUGUUAAACUAAAGGAAACUGGUCACAAAUACUUUAGCAGUGGCUAUAAAUGACCAGUGGGCCAAGGAUUUUGAGAUCGUGAGAGACUUCUCCGGGAAUGUUGUCAUUCAUUUCACUCCAGUGUGGCUCUUUUCCUCCAUCUGC